GCCACGGUGGGACAACCUGGUAACGAGCAGCAAAAAGCUGGUUGUUGGGUAAUACUCCGCCGGCCUUGAGAGCCGGUUGCCGCAAGGCUAUCCCGGUUCAAAUCCGGGCCGUGGCG
rnacentral:tRNA from 1 species